rnacentral:rRNA from 1 species
CCUACGGGUGGCAGCAGUGAGGAAUAUUGGUCAAUGGACGCAAGUCUGAACCAGCCAUGCAGCGUGCAGGAAGACUGCUCUAUGGGUUGUAAACUUCUUUUAUACGGGAGUAAACUCCAGUACGCAUAUCUUUCUGCAAGUAUCGUACGAAUAAGGAUCGGCUAACUCCGUGCCAGCAGCCGCGGUAAUACGGAGGAUUCAAGCGUUAUCCGGAUUUAUUGGGUUUAAAGGGUGAGUAGGCGGUCGGAUAAGUUAGAUGUGAAAUUCCGCGGCUCAACUGUGGAAUUGCAUGUGAUACUGGUUGGCUAGAGAGCAGCAGAGGUAGGCGGAA